rnacentral:lncRNA from 1 species
AGCCAGACCAGGAACCCACCAGAAGGAACCAAUUCCGGACACAUAACAAGCAGCAGUGAGGACACCAAAGACACAGACCCAGAUGCAGAGGCAGAGGCAGCCACACAGCCCCUCCCAGCCACAAUCACAACCUCAUAUUCAUAUAAUCACAGACCCUCCACCCCACAUAGUGGGUGGAAUCCUGCCAGCGCAUUCCACUCACACACACACAAAAUCCCAUUCUCACACACGUGCACCCAAGCCUCGUCCCGCACACACAACAUGACAGGCCACAGAGCCGGCUGAGAGUCUCAGCACGCAUGGACGCCUGCACUGCGCAGGUUGCAGCCCAGGCUGCAGGACCACAGGUGGCAGGGACGACACAGCAGGUGGCCGGCCAGGGAGUGGCAGUGGCCUCCAUCCUCCCUGCUCAGCCACAGCCCCUGCUUCAGCGUCUGCCAGUCCAACUGUCAACUCAUCCACUCAACUUUACAACUGGAAUGUGGGGGCGUUCAGGGCCCUGCCACUGGUGACGGCCACUCUAAGUCCUACCCAAUGCUGGGUAGGUCCUUUAAGAGGCCCAAGUCCUGGGCGCUACUAUGAGGUUCUGUACGUGCACAGUGAUGGCUCAUGCCUGGCCGAGGUGAGCCCACUCAGUCUGGGUGGCACAGCCUAAUCUAGGAACUGCUCUGCGGUUCUACAUGGCUCUCAGCAGCCCAGUGAGUGUCCUCUGCACCGGGCGUGUCCCUCAGGUGCUCCUAGCCAGACCCUCCCUUGACACAGUAGGGCACAAACCGCUAUUGGAGCGGCACUGGCACCCGAGUGUACAAGCGUCAGCAUCCCUGCUGCCUUCCCCACCCCCAGCUGUCCCCACCUGCUGAUUCUGCCCCUGGGGUCACACUUACAAUUUAGGGUCCUGUCAGGAGACAAAAAUCACGUGAGUGACAUCAGCUCCCUCAUAUGUAGGUGCUGGGAAAAGGGCUUGUGGGGUGCCUGUAUAAACUGGCCAUAAAAAUACGGGAAUAAGUUGUGGAAAGCCACAAAAGGCCUCUGAGGAGGAAAGCCUCCUAAUUGCCAUCAUGUUCCCAUGCUCAGAGCAAGACCCGCUGUCUUCUCUGUAAACACUGUGCUCAGGGAGAAAGACACUUCUUUGAAACACUGGAAUGUGGACAGACGUGCAGGCUCCCAGUCAAGGCCGCUCCUACUAGCUACUCUCCAACAAGUUAAAGUUAUGCUGUUUGAGCACAAAGGAGACUCAUUUAAACUGCUAUUGCUAUAGAUUAUGCCUGUGAUGCACUGCCACCCUUUCACUGUUUCUCCCUGAACAUCUGCUUCUUAGAUCGAAGGGACUGUACUCAAUAAAUAGUGUGGAGACCAGAGCUCGGCACCUUUUGCAGCCUCCACAUUUUGCACUGGCCCCCUGGCUCCCCACCUUUCACUCUUAACUUGUCUUUUCUCAAUCCUUUGUCACCACCAGACUUCGGGUACCCUACGGGUAGUGUUGAGGCUGGUCCCCAACAUGUAGGAUCCCUUCACUGUGUCACAUGUGUCCCUAACACACUUGCUACAUCUCAUGUCCUUUAGGUUCUGUGUUUUACUCCAGAUAAUGUUCUUUGAAUCUAAAUUACAGUUUACUGAUUUCUCAAAAGCUGCACCUAAUGUGCUAUCCAUUCAGACAGACAUACUCACUUAGCAAAUGUUUGUUGAGCCAGCACUCAGUGGCAGAUUCUGUGCUAGGGCGUGCCAAGUGCAGACACACGUUUGCCAAGACACAGGGUCACAUGUGCAUGCACACUCAGACUUGCAGGCUUACACCAGUGUUCAGCCUGCUCCCAAUCCCAGGGAGCUCCAGGGAGGACAGAGAGAAUGUCACAACACCCAACCCCUCCCACUGCAUGCUGAGUCCAGUUCCCGAUACGCUGCCACCCCAACAGCAUGGCCCAGGGCCGAGGGUCUCUCUGCAGACCUGCCCUGACCACAUUCACACACACACACACACACACACACACACACACACAC